rnacentral:tRNA from 4 species
GGGCCAUUAGUACAGUGGUAAUAUGCUGCAUUCGCAUUGCAGAGGCGGGAGUUCGAUUCUCCCAUGGUCCACAA